GGCGACAUCGCCAAGCGGUAAGGCAGAGGAUUGCAAAUCCUUUAUUCCCCAGUUCGAUUCUGGGUGUCGCCU
rnacentral:tRNA from 1 species